rnacentral:rRNA from 1 species
ACGAACGCUGGCGGCGUGCUUAAAACAUGCAAGUCGAACGGAAAGGACCUGCUUGUGUGGGGUGCUCGAGUGGCGAACGGGUGAGUAACAAGUGAGUAACAUGCCCUUGACUUUGGGAUAACUUCAGGAAACUGGGGCUAAUACUGGAUAGGAGCACCUGCUGCAUGGUGGGGGAUGGAAAGUUUCGGCGGUUGGGGAUGGACUCGCGGCUUAUCAGCUUGUUGGUGGGGUAGUGGCUUACCAAGGCUUUGACGGGUAGCCGGCCUGAGAGGGUGACCGGCCACAUUGGGACUGAGAUACGGCCCAGACUCCUACGGUAGGCAGCAGUGGAGAAUAUUGCACAAUGGGCGGAAGCCUGAUGCAGCAACGCCGCGUUCGGGAUGACGGCCUUCGGGUUGUAAACCGCUUUCGCCUGUGACGAAGCGUGAGUGACGGUAAUUGGUAAAGAAGCACCGGCUAACUACGUG